UAUGGUGUUACAGUUUUCUUUAUUAUUAAAUCUUUGUUUGACAUACACAUGAGCCGCUUAUGUUACUGAAAGCAAAGAAACUCUGCUGAAGAAGGGUGGAAUAUCCUCAAGUUGGCAAAGAAAAAUUAAAUAAGAAGAGUGAGUAACUUGCCUGUCAAACUUUUAAGGUGUUGGCCUUGGGGUUAUUCCAGAAGGAGCCAGAGGCAAGCCUCCAGGAGAUACUGUGAAAGUAGGCCAGCUGCAAAAAAUCAUGGACAAAUGAGGGUGGUAUGUAUGUAUCCACAACAUUAAGCUCUUGUUUUGGACUUUGUGGAAGGGCUUAAAAACAAGCCACAACUGCUACUGAAUGCUGUUUCAGAAAUAAUAAAAUUUGUAUGCAUAUUACAAUGAA